GAUGAACGCUGGCGGCGUGCCUAAAACAUGCAAGUCGAGCGAUCUUCUUCGGAAGAGAGCGGCGGACGGGUGAGUAACGCGUGGGUAACAUGCCCUGUACACACGGACAACAUACCGACAGGUAUGCCAAUACGAGAUAAUAUACUUUUAUCGCAUGGACGAAGUAUCAAAGCUCCGGCGGUACAGGAUGGACCCGCGUCUGAGUAGCUCGUUGGUAAGGUAACGGCUUACCAAGGCGACGAUCAGUAGCCGACCUGAGAGGGUGAUCGGCCACAGUGGAACUGAGACACGGGCCAAACUCCUACGGGAGGCAGCAGUGGGGAAUAUUGCACAAUGGGCGAAAGCCUGAUGCAGCGACGCCGCGUGAGCGAUGAAGGCCUUCGGGUCGUAAAGCUCUGUCCGCAAGGAAGAUAAUGACGGUACCUGAGGAGGAAGCCCCGGCUAACUACGUGCCAGCAGCCGCCGUAACAC
rnacentral:rRNA from 1 species